rnacentral:rRNA from 1 species
GAUGAACGCUAGCGAUAGGCCUAACACAUGCAAGUCGAGGGGCAUCACAUGAGGCAGCAAUGCCGAUGGUGGCGACCGGCGCACGGGUGAGUAACACGUAUGCAACCUGCCUUCAACAAGGGGAUAACCCGUUGAAAAACGGACUAAUACCCUAUAAUACAGGGGUCCCGCAUGGGGAUAUUUGUUAAAGGACAACCGGUUGAAGAUGGGCAUGCGUUCCAUUAGCUAGUUGGCGGGGUAACGGCCCACCAAGGCA